UGGAGACAUCCUUCAUAGCUAUAGAGAAGACAGGUGGUGCAUGGUUUUCGUCAGUCGUGUCGUGAGAUGUUGGGUUAAGUCCCGCAACGAGCGCAACCCCUGUCGCCAGUUACCAUCAUUGAGUUGGGGACUCUGGCGAGACUGCCUCUGCAAGGAGGAGGAAGGCGGGGAUGACGUCAAAUCAUCAUGCCCCUUAUGACCUGGGCCACACACGUGCUACAAUGGACGGGACAGAGGGAAGCGAAGGCGCGAGCCGGAGCGGACCCCAGAAACCCGUUCCCAGUUCGGACUGCAGUCUGCAACUCGACUGCACGAAGCCGGAAUCGCUAGUAAUCGCGGAUCAGCAUGCCGCGGUGAAUACGUUCUCGGGCCUUGUACACACCGCCCGUCACACCAUGAGAGUUGGCAACACCCGAAGCCGGCGGUCCCAACCCGACAAGGGAGGGAGCUGUACUAAGGUGGGGCUGAUGAUUGGGGUGAAGUACGUAACAAGGUACCCUCUCUUGCUGUUGGCGGCCGCCUGUGGUCGCCUAUGGGAGAGUCAACGG
rnacentral:rRNA from 1 species